rnacentral:tRNA from 1 species
GGGCGGAUAGCUCAGUUGGGAGAGCAUCGGCCUUACAAGCCGGGGGUCAGAGGUUCGAAUCCUCUUCCGCCUA